rnacentral:lncRNA from 1 species
GAGCCUUAUAUAUAGGGUUAUCACAACAUGAUUCAAGUUACGUGGAAUUUCUAAAGUUGGCAAACUUAGUCUACAAUGAAAAAAAUCUAAGGGUACAGAGCUGGAGACUGAGACAAGUCAUGAGGAAACUUUCUGGGAUUGUAUUAGUCCGUUUUUUCACUGCUGAUAAAGACAUACCUGAUACUGGGUACUUUAUUCAAAAAAGGUUUAAGGGACUCACAGUUGCACCUGGCUGGGGAGGCCUCAUCAUCACGGCAGAAAGUCAAAGGGACAACUUACAUGGUGGCAGACGAGAGAAAUGAGAAACAAGCAAAAGGGCUUUCCUCUUAUAGAAGCAUCAGCUCUUGUGAGACUUAUUCACUAUCACAAGAACAGUAUGGGGGAAACUGUCACCAUGAUUAAAUUCUCUCCCACCAGGUCCCUCCCACAACACGUGGGAAUUCUGGGAGCUACAAUUCAAGAAGAGAUUUGGGCUGGAGUGCAGUGGUGUGAUAUGGGCUCACUGCAACAUUUAUCUCCUGGGUUCAAGCAGUUCUCCUGCCUCAGCCUCCUGAGUACCUGGGAUUACAGGUAUGUGCCACAACACCAGCUAAUUUUUGUAUUUUUAGUAGAAUGGGGUUUCACCAUGUUGGUCAGGCUGGUCUCAAACUCCUGACCUUGUAAUCUGCCCGCCUUGGCCUCCAAAAGUGCUGAGAUUACAAGAGUGAGUCACCGCAGCUGUCCCGAGUUCUCACUUCUUGAUGUGAGCAUUUAGUACUAUAAAUUUCUCUCCACACUACUUGACUAG